GUAAAACUGGUAACAAGAGUAGUCCAGUUGAAGAAAAAAAUGAAUCUAACUCAAUACAUAUUGAUGUUAACUUAAUACUUACUGCACGUUUUAAAGAUAACAAACAUGAACCUGAAUUAGCUGAACCAGGUUGUAGUAUAAAUGUGAUUGAUAUGAAUGCAUCGUUACCCAAUGCCAAGGAUACAAAUGAGUCAUACUUUAAUAAUGAUGUAACUGAUUUAGGUAAUCUGAUAUCUGGAUCUAUACAGCCAGUAUUAAAGGCAUGAACAAUGAUAGUUACUAAUUUAUGAAUUACAUAUAGCAUAUGAUUGUAGAAAAUGCAUUAAAUACCUUAAGUAGUAAUAGGAUCAAAAAGGAAAAAAAACUUACCAAAUUCAUUAGAAAAUUUCCACAUAACAUCUACUAGUUUUGAAUUUACAAACACAAAUUUUGGAAACUGUUCUGUUAAAGAAUAUUGGCUCAUUAAUGGAUAUUAUAGAGUACUAGAUAGUUUAAUUGUAAACAUGAAUGACAGAUUUUCUGAAGAAAGCUUAAAAUUAGCAGUUGCAGUUGACAAAUUUAUUAAGUUAGACUUUGAAAAUAGUAUGGAUUUUUUUGAUCACUAUUUGAAACUAACAAAGUGUUGUAAAAAAUCAUUAGAAGCAGAGAUGGUUGUAGCUAAAUCUUGCCUUUAAAAAAAAAAUGCAAACUUUGAUUUAACAGAUAUGGUUGAACUCAUUACUCCAUCAGUAUAUCCUAAUCUAUUCAAAUACCUGCAACUCGCAAUAACAAUACCAAUAAGUUCAGCAACUUGCGAACGAUCUUUUAGUGCCAUGAGAAAAGUGAAAACGUGGUUGAGGACAACUAUGGAACAGAAUCGAUUUUCAAGUCUAUCAGUUUUACACAUUGAAAGGGAUAUAUCCAAUAAUAUAAAUGUAGAAGAUAUUGUAAAUGUAUUUGCCGAAAAAGAAA